UAAUACAUGCAAGUCGAACGCGCAGCGAAAGGUGCUUGCACCUUUCAAGCGAGUGGCGAACGGGUGAGUAACACGUGGAUAACCUGCCUCAAGGCUGGGGAUAACAUUUGGAAACAGAUGCUAAUACCGAAUAAAACUUAGUAUCGCAUGAUACAAAGUUGAAAGGCGCUACGGCGUCACCUAGAGAUGGGUCCGCGGUGCAUUAGUUAGUUGGUGGGGUAAAGGCCUACCAAGACAAUGAUGCAUAGCCGAGUUGAGAGACUGAUCGGCCACAUUGGGACUGAGACACGGCCCAAACUCCUACGGGAGGCUGCAGUAGGGAAUCUUCCACAAUGGGCGAAAGCCUGAUGGAGCAACGCCGCGUGUGUGAUGAAGGCUUUAGGGUCGUAAAGCACUGUUGUAUGGGAAGAAAUGCUAGAAUAGGGAAUGAUUCUAGUUCGACGGUACCAUACCAGAAAGGGACGGCUAAAUACGUGCCAGCAGCCGCGGUAAUACGUAUGUCCCGAGCGUUAUCCGGAUUUAUUGGGCGUAAAGCGAGCGCAGACGGUUGAUUAAGUCUGAUGUGAAAGCCCGGAGCUCAACUCCGGAAUGGCAUUGGAAACUGGUUAACUUGAGUGUUGUAGAGGUAAGUGGAACUCCAUGUGUAGCGGUGGAAUGCGUAGAUAUAUGGAAGAACACCAGUGGCGAAGGCGGCUUACUGGACAACAACUGACGUUGAG
rnacentral:rRNA from 1 species